CUGUACUCCACUUGGCCUGAAACAAAAAUGGCCUCUUCCCUUGUGGGUUCCAGGACUAGCUGCUCCAAGAAGCAGUCAUUAAUGGUAUCUAGAAAUGUUCUCUCUGCAUCUCAUCCUAAGGUGACAUAUACCAGUCAAUAUGGGGAUAGUUGAAAUCCCCCAUUAUUAUUGGGUUUUCUUUUUAUAGCCUCU